CCCUUAGAUGUUCUGGGCCGCACGCGCGCUACACUGACGAAGUCAGCGAGCAUGUCCUACGCCGAUAGGUGCGGGGAAUCUUGUGAAACUUCGUCGUGCUGGGGAUUGAUUAUUGAAAUUAUUGAUCAUCAACGAGGAAUUCCUAGUAAGCGCAAGUCAGCAGCUUGCGUUGAUUACGUCCCUGCCCUUUGUACACACCGCCCGUCGCACCUACCGAUUGAAUGGUCCGGUGAAGCCUCCGGAUUGGCGCGCACCUCGGUGCCGCCGAGAAGUUGGCUAAACCUUACCAUUUAGAAGAAGGUGAAGUCGUAACA
rnacentral:rRNA from 1 species